rnacentral:rRNA from 1 species
GGAAUUGACGGGGGCCCGCACAAGCGGUGGAGUAUGUGGUUUAAUUCGAUGCAACGCGAAGAACCUUACCUGGGUUGGAAACCCCUGGAAUCCUGCAGAGAUGUGGGAGUGCUCUUUUAGAGAAUCAGGUGUUCAGGUGCUGCAUGGUUGUCGUCAGCUCGUGUCGUGAGAUGUUGGGUUAAGUCCCGCAACGAGCGCAACCCCUGUUGUUAGUUGCCAGCGAUUCGGUCGGGCACUCUAACGAGACUGCCGGUGGUAAGCCGGAGGAAGGUGGGGAUGACGUCAAAUCCUCAUGGCCCUUAUGCCCAGGGCUACACACGUACUACAAUGGUCGGUACAAAGGGCUGCGACCCCGCGAGGGUGAGCCAAUCCCAAAAAGCCGACCUCAGUUCGGAUUGUAGUCUGCAACUCGACUACAUGAAGGUGGAAUCGCUAGUAAUCGCGGAUCAGCAUGCCGUGGUGAAUACGUUCCCGGGCCUU